UGUAGCUUAGGGAUGAAGCACUUGCCUAACAUGCAUGAGGCCCGGGGUUUGAUUCCCCAGCA
rnacentral:tRNA from 1 species